GUUAUGGUAGCUUUAAAUGUGAAUAUUUCCUGUACCUUCACAAACCUGAUUCUCUCUCAUAUAUUUAGUCUUAAUGGGUGUGCUAAUGUUCCAAACUUCCUUAUUUAUGGUUUUCCUAAACGUGGGAAAAACAGACAUUCAGUUCCUGUCUACUAUAAAGCCAGAGCAGUACAGCUUUACAGCAUUCUCUGCCGAGAUGCCUUCUCUCUUUUGUCGUGGACUGUGGAUCCCUUUCCUUGAUGUUAUUCUCACAACCCAGGAAAUAUCCUUGCUUUCCUCUGUAAGCUUAUGUUCUCCCGUUACCCAAAAAGAUGACUUCCAGCCCUGAUGUAGUUUAUCUAUAGCCGACAGAUGCUUAAGUAUGUGUGUAAUUUUCUUGCUUGUUCUAGUGCAAGAUUGUUUCCUUAGCCUGAAAUAGCAGAUACUUGCUAUGCUUUCAUUGAAAUAAUGAAAAAUUAUUUGUUGUCUUGCUUUUGUAAAGUUUUUAGUCUGGUAAAAUUUUUGAAAACUUUCAUGAAGUCCUCUCCCUUCAUUCUUUUUUCUAAUUCUCAAACACUAGUUGUCUUUUAGUCCUUGAUAUUAUAAAUUCUUUUGCAUUAACUGUAUUUUCUCCAGCCUUUCAAGUCAGCAGAACUGGAUACAUUAUCCAAAAUGGGAGUAGCAGGGUAUUUGCUGGAAAGUUGCAGGGCAUACAUGGAGAACUUCUAGGGAAAGGAUGGAUAUAUAUGCAGUAAUGGGAUAUGUAACUGCAACCUGUAAUCUUACAGGUUGAAUACACCAGCCUAAAAGGGCUAUCAGGAGUCUGUGAAGUUUGGGAUGUCUGCAUGAUUUGUGGUGCUUUGUGAUCUCUGUUACUUGGGAACUGGAAUCUGUCUGUUGGUGACAGCAGCCCUGCAGAUGAGGAGUCUCAAAGCAUGGACCAGCCCUUGCCUUUUUCCUGCUCUUUCGCUAUUGAAGUUGUAAGGACUGGUUCAAAGUGUCAUCAUACAUCAACAGCACUGUGGACUCCGAAGGGUGGAUGUGUAUCUCUUCUUGAUGUGACUCUUUGGGUUCAAUUCCUGCACUGUGGAGGAUGGCAGGAACUGGACUUGCAGCUCAGAGCUGUGUGUCACCCCCAUGUGAGCAUCAUCCUAUGGGGGAUGCAUGGCUGCAAGCUCCAUCCCUGACAGUAUUUCACCACUUACCAGGCAAGAUUUACCCAACUGCACAAAAGGCAGUCACCAGUCCUCUUCCCUUUCUCUAUCAAUUUCACACAUCUUGACUGUCAGUGCUGGCCGGGGUGCUCACAACCACUUCUUGACCAAUUGCUGCCAUCAUUAGUGUUAAAUACCUUGAUAUUUUUUUUUUAUGCCUUUAAAUGUGUGUUUUGAAAAAGACUUCUCGGAACUUAUUAACACUUCAGAACUAAAAAAAGUAAGCUUUGGGAAGUGAUUUUUUUCCCCUUUGCAAUACAGUUAGCAUUUCUGCCCACUUCAGUUUUCCCCCCUGGCUUAAUAAGUUUUAGGAAAUAUCAAACUCCUUUUAGGGGAGAGGAUAGCAGAUUUUAUUGGAUCUCUGAACUUAAAUGAGAAAAUGCAGAACAGCUCAGGAAGCUUCCCUGAGUGCUUCUUAAAUUUUCUAAUUACUGCUUAGCUGAUACAAACCUCACAGCCAAAGUACAAAUAUUUUGAGGGUUAAAAGCUGAUAGUGGGAUAUUAACUGUCUCUGCUUGGAACAAGUGUGUUAUUAAAUACGGUUCAGAUCUUACAGAUUUAAUAAUGCAGUUAAUGUCAUAAAGAUGAUCCUCAUCUCAGUUCUGCAAGCAAAAACUCUCUAGGAGCUCUCUUAAUUUGCUGUUGAAUGCUGUGAGGAGGUGGGGGUGCAGGUUUACAGAGAGGAGGAAAAGGAGUGGAAGUUUGCAGGGCCCAGCUGGCAGACGGGGCUCCAUCAGCUGUCACCGCAUGAUGCUGAUCCCAAGAAGCUCAGAGGGAAGCUCUGGGUACCAACCAGAAUAAUGCAUGUUUGAAUCCAGUGAGAAGAGGGACUGGGUGACACUGGCAAUUUCUUUGGCCAGAGCAUGACCCUCUCCUCCCAAGGCCACAGGCAAGGGCUGCACCAAGUGGCAGUGCCGCGGGUGGGGACCUGACCUUGUGCUGUGUGUUUUCCAGGCUUUACAUUGAGGGGCUCUGGUCUGUUCCUGCAGCCUGAGCUCACCUUGGUGAUAGGACCAGGUGAGCCAGUUCAGUUUCAUCCUAGAGCAGUCUGGUCUGGGUGCCCUGAGGCCACUCUGCAAUGUCAAAUGAAGUGCAGGAGUUGCGGACAGCUGGAGGGUUUGCUUCAAAAGUGGGAGCAAGAGAGGGAAGUGCCUCUUGGCAUUGCUGCUUUGUCUUCUUGGCUUUUUAGGCUUACAUGCUGAGCUUCCCCACUGCUUGUGCUGUCCCUGUGCCACUGAUUCUCUAAGUCACAAGUGGAGAAGUUUGCACUGGUUUCAUCCAUGCAUGUGGAAGGCGAAGCAAACCUCUCAUGUGCUCAUAGUCUGAAGGAUUACAUUUUACAAAGUGUUGUGGCUUAAUUUUUUCUGUUCUUCUCUCCAUCCUGCUGCUCCUUUGUUUUCCCCUUGCUCCACAGCAGACAUUUUCACCACUUAGACAUAACCACAACACACUUUUUAGGGGAGUUCCAAAUGGAACCUGCUGGUCCAGCGGUUCAAAGGCUGGUUUCAGGCAGCCAUUGAUCUUAAUAGCACUAACAUGAAGAAAAAAGGAAACCCAAAGAGUGCUAUUUAUCAUCUCAUCUGGAAAGAGAAGAAAACUGAAGUUAAUUAUUUUUCACUUACCUGGAAGGGUUUGGAAUCUGGGGAGUCCACCGAGCAGCAAACCUUUAGUAGGUUCCCAUAUUAAGCCACAACUUUCUUCAACACACUUCUGUAGAUUAAUUUUUGGGGGGUUAGAUUUUAAGGAUUUAUUUCUUAUGUCAGUGGCUGUUAAGCAUCCUGCUGGAGGAAAUCUCGAAAGACAUCGAUUUGUAGAUACAGCCCUUUUUAUGUGGGACAAAAUACAGAGACCUGUAAGCAAGCCAAUAUUUAAUUGUAUGGUCUAAUGGCUCCAAAAUUUAGUUAUAGCUUCCUUUAAUAAAACAAAUUUGGGGUCUUUUAUGAUGAUUCUAAAAUUAGAACACGCCACACCUUAUUGCUGUCAGUUCACUUUGUGAGAUGAGUCAACAACCUUGCACGUUUGCUGCAGAAAUGCCCUUUUACUUCUGCUUUGAGGUUCUCAGUUGAAAAGACUUUUUGAGAAAUGGCUAAACUUGACUCAAUGUUUAAAUCACAAUUGUUUUUAUGGUCUCCCUUCUAACAGGAGAAUUGUUGUGGCUGUUUCAGACCAACAGACGGACAGUAUAAUGGAACGUAAGGAAUGCUCAGGGAAAGAGUACGAGAAGCAGAAAGAGCUCAUAGAGCUUAUAGAGGUCCUGCUUGUGGUUCCCCUUGCAGCAUCUGCCUGCUCAGAAAUGCCUGGCCAAGAGCUGUCAGCCCCCUACCUUCAAUAGCUGCCAGAGCCUGUGAAUUUGUCUUUACUUUCCUUGAGCCCAUGUAGGAUUUUCACCUUCAGGGAGUCCUCUGUCAGUGAGUUCUGCAAAUCAGCUGCAUCUGUCCCCAUAAAGAUGUCUCCUGGCAGGCAGAAAAUAGCCUGAGGCUGAUGUCCCGGGUCGAGCCUGCAUAAAUCCUGACUGAAAGCAGGGAGAGCUGCCCAGUCAUUGAUGGUAACACUGGUUCUUAAAUUUGGGCUUAAGACUCAAGCUUUAGGUGCCUAUAAUGGGAAGAUUUUGUGAUUUCCACAACAAGCAUUAACUAUGAAUUUCAUGGCCGAGAAGGUGCCAUGAUUCUAGCAAGUGGUAGAAUACGUGAUCUUACAGCACUGGGUUGGAAACCUCUCUGGUUCUGCAUCUGCUACCCAGUUUCUGUGCAACCCUGACGCGCCCACCCAUCUUCUUCUGAAAAGGAGAUAGAGAUGUUACUAUUGACUUAUAAACUACAGAGCUCCCAGCACAACAGGGCAGGCUGCCUGGCACAAUUCACUGUCUUGGUCCUUAUAGAAGCUUCAGAGGACGAGAUAGUGGCUCAGCGACCGUCGCUUCCAGCCUGGUAUCUUAACUACUGAGCUACUGUGUGUUUCCAACCAGCCCUUUCCUACAGCACAAGCAUGGCAUGAGGCUUAAUUCAUUAAUGUCUGUAAGUGUUUGAAGAAAAAGCAGAGUGAAGGUGAUAGAAGAGAAGCACAUUUGCUUGUUGGGCAGCAGCAGCUGGAAUAUCUCAGUGCUGCAGUCAUAUUUGAUGGUACGUGUACUUUGCUUCAGGAAUGCUGCCAAAUGCCAUUUUAUUCCUAACUCAGAGCUCUAUGCAGAUGAAAAAUGUUAAUUUCCACGCCUUUUUUUUUUUGGCCAAAAGGUGUCUGCAGGUUUUUAUGCAGCUUGACCAGGCUGGGACCAAGGCCCAGUUCAGAGCAAAAAGCACUACUGGGGAUGAAGAUGAUGUUUGUGCUUGAAGUCAGGGCUUUACCAAGUGGCUCUGACAAGGAUGAAGGUAGAAGUGGUGUUUCCCUAGCUAACUCCCCCAGGAUUAAAUGACAGAAUUACAGUCUGACCCCCUCCCCACGGCCUCAAGAAGGGGUAGCUUUCUGUUACAUGUUUGUUCAUAUUAGCAGAGGGGUUUUAUUAGCCCUUUGUCAUGGUUCCUCGUUAGCCUUCAAGUCAGGUGGGGCAGUUCAAGGACUGUGGUUGGAUCAGGAUUUUCUCCAAUUUUGUGUGACAGGAAAACUUUCUCCUCUGUAUUUCUUUAACCUCGCUGGUUCUCUUUCACCUUUCUUUUUCCAGCAAAUGGAAAGCCAUGAGCUCCAAGGACUGCAGAUCAUUUUUACAGGUACACAAACAGAUCAGCCCAUUUGCUAACAGCCUCGGCGCUGACACCACAGUAUCCAUGGCAACACACCAGCCUGCACAAGCAUCUGCAGACGCUUUGAAAAUCAGAAAUACCGAGUGAUGACAAGGAGCCGCUUCAGACAAUGGAUGUUUACAGGUGUCACAACCACCUGAAAUACUUCUCUCCCCACCCAUCAGCUCCUUGAUUAUAACAUGCUUUACAUUUUUCUUGCAGCUUCUUUGUCAGAAUAUAAGAUUCAAGGCAGAAUUAAUCCUCGUUUUGAUUUUUUCUGUUUAGAGCACUGACAGAGGUACCUUAUGGGAAUGAGCACCCCAAGCUCCGCUGUUAACUUUCCUCUUUGAACUGGGUCAGAGUACAGGUUCUUUAAAUGAUAAAAUCCAAAGUCAUAACUGAAAAAAAAUGGCCUGCGUCAACCCCAGCUAACAGAUGUUGUGUGACUGCCAUGCUGAGUGGUGGUUUGCUCAAUUGACUUGCGUGAAUUAUUACUUUCCUAUAGUGACAACAGAUUAAAUAAGAUCCUAUCAACCAUUUUUUGGGGAAUAUUUGAACGUAAGUUCAUCUACCCGUUGACAGAGACUAUGUACUGUGUUUACAGCUGUUAGUCUUCAUCGAUCCCAUCAGUACUUCAGCUCUGCUUUCAGGAGAUAACAUUCAGGCACACAGGCUGCCUUUCUGAAGCUGGUUGCAGCAAGUGUAUCUGUUCAGUAAACUGGGUGCUUACAUGCAAAACCAUCUGUAAUUCAGAUUGGAUAGCUGUAUGUGGGGUACUCAUUCGUGCACCUGGAUAACUGUGGGCAAAUAUAUGGGCAUAAGGGGGCAUGAAUUUACAGAUAUAAUGUAUGUCCUACCCUUCAGGACUCCACCCUCAUCUUUCACGUACAAAGCAGACCAUUAGAGUCACAUGCUGAUGAUGACCCUGAAUGAGGAGCAGUUUCGUAACACAGCAAACCAACAGGUAGUCUUCAGACAUUUAGGACCACCUUCCUCAGGCUGGGGAAGUAUUUUUGCCACACUAAUAUGAGAUGGAUAUGCUCAUGAAACAGGCUGAGGCCAUUCUCAAACCAGACCGCUGCAUUUGUUGAUUGCACAAAAGUUGGAUAUGAGGUUGAGUUUGAAGUUGGGUCACAGGAAAGAGCCCAAGUACAUCAAUGCAUAACCUCAAGCCACUGUUUUGAUAAGAAAAUGGCCCACCAUUCUGUCUGCAAUGUUUCCCCUCUCUUAACAAGU